UGCACGAGAUAAACAACUCCUGAAACUUCCUCCCCAUACAAGGCUUCCCACCGCAGACUGCUACAGGGACCCUAAUGCUCUUCCUGUCUGACAUCAAUGACAACGUCCCGACUCUCCGGCCACGUUCCCGCUACAUGGAGGUCUGUGAGUCUGCUGUGCAUGAGCCCCUCCACAUCGAGGCAGAGGAUCCGGACCUGGAGCCGUUCUCUGACCCAUUUACAUUUGAAUUGGACAAUACCUGGGGAAAUGCGGAGGACACAUGGAAGUUGGGGAGAAAUUGGGGUCAAUCAGUUGAACUUUUAACCUUGAGAAGCCUGCCACGUGGUAAUUACUUGGUGCCACUCUUCAUUGGAGACAAACAGGGACUUUCCCAGAAGCAAACUGUCCAUGUAAGGAUCUGCCCCUGUGCCAGUGGGCUCACGUGUGUGGAGCAUGCAGAUGCAGAAGUGGGGCUUCUUGUGGGGGCCCUGUUCCCUGUCUGUGCAGCGUUUGUGGCUCUGGCAGUGGCUCUGCUUUUUCUGUUGCGAUGCUAUUUUGUGCUUGAACCUAAGAGGCAUGGAUGCUCUGUAUCCAAUGAUGAAGGCCACCAAACACUGGUCAUGUAUAAUGCGGAGAGCAAAGCUACUUCAGCCCAGACAUGGUCAGAUGUUGAAGGCCAGAGGCCGGCUCUGCUCAUCUGCACAGCUGCAGCAGGACCCACGCAGGGAGUUAAGGGUUAUGGCAAGCCCUUUGAGCCAAGAGGUGUGAAAAACAUACACUCUACUCCUGCUUACCCAGAUGCCACAAUGCACAGACAACUCCUGGCUCCGGUGGAAGGAAGGAUGGCAGAGACAUUGAAUCAGAAACUCCAUGUUGCCAAUGUGCUGGAAGAUGACCCCGCCUACCUACCUCACGUCUACAGCGAGGAAGGGGAGUGUGGAGGGGCCCCAUCCCUCAGCUCUCUGGCCAGCUUGGAACAGGAGUUGCAACCUGAUUUGCUGGACUCUUUGGGUUCAAAAGCGACUCCGUUUGAGGAAAUAUAUUCAGAGUCAGGUGUUCCUUCCUAAAAAAAAAGUCUAUUUUGGAGAAUUGAAAUAAUUCAUGGAAGGGAAUCACUAUUCAGGGAUUUUUCCCCUUUGCUCUUCUUUUCCCUCCUUAAAAGAAAAAUUACCUUCUAGUCCUAGGAUGAGGACACACUAUUAGUUUGAAUUAAAUGCUUUGAUAUUCUCAGAUCAGCCAUCUUGAACCAAAGCAAAACCACAAGUUACGCUUUCUUAAAAUUUGAUUUGUCAUAUUUUCUAGAGAAACUUGAAUUUAAUUGUGUUAUUCUUAGCUUCCACUGGCAGCCUAGCUUUGAGGGUAAAUGAAAAUAUAACCCAUAGAUUACCCAGCCACUUGGGAACAGCAGGUAAUACUGAAGAAAAAUAAAAAUAGAUUUUGAAAACGUUA
rnacentral:sRNA from 1 species